GCCUUGGUAGUGCAGUGGUCAGCACGCUGGGCGCGUAUUCCAGAGAUCUGUGGUUCGAGUCCCGGCAAGGACA
rfam:Stegodyphus mimosarum contig110162, whole genome shotgun sequence.